GCAUAAGCCCACGGCUCGGCAUCGAGCAGAGGGAAAAGGAGCAAUCCGCUUUGAGAUGGCCUCGCGUCCGAUUAGCUAGUUGGUGAGGUAAUGGCUCACCAAGGCGACGAUCGGUAGCCGGACUGAGAGGUUGAACGGCCACAUUGGGACUGAGACACGGCCCAGACUCCUACGGGAGGCAGCAGUGGGGAAUAUUGCACAAUGGGGGAAACCCUGAUGCAGCGACGCCGCGUGGAGGAAGAAGGUCUUCGGAUUGUAAACUCCUGUUGUUGGGGAAGAUAACGACGGUACCCAACAAGGAAGUGACGGCUAACUACGUGCCAGCAGCCGCGGUAAAACGUAGGUCACAAGCGUUGUCCGGAAUUACUGGGUGUAAAGGGAGCGCAGGCGGGAAGACAAGUUGGAAGUGAAAUCUAUGGGCUCAACCCAUAAACUGCUUUCAAAACUGUUUUUCUUGAGUAGUGCAGAGGUAGGCGGAAUUCCCGGUGUAGCGGUGGAAUGCGUAGAUAUCGGGAGGAACACCAGUGGCGAAGGCGGCCUACUGGGCACCAACUGACGCUGAGGCUCGAAAGUGUGGGUAGCAAACAGGAUUAGAUACCCUGGUAGUCCACACCGUAAACGAUGAUUACUAGGUGUUGGAGGAUUGACCCCUUCAGUGCCGCAGUUAACACAAUAAGUAAUCCACCUGGGGAGUACGACCGCAAGGUUGAAACUCAAAGGAAUUGACGGGGGCCCGCACAAGCAGUGGAGUAUGUGGUUUAAUUCGACGCAACGCGAAGAACCUUACCAAGUCUUGACAUCCCUUGACAGACAUAGAAAUAUGUAUUCUCUUGGAGCAAGGAGACAGGUGGUGCAUGGUUGUCGUCAGCUCGUGUCGUGAGAUGUUGGGUUAAGACCCGCAACGAGCGCAACCCUUAUGGUCAGUUACUACGCAAGAGGACUCUGGCCAGACUGCCGUUGACAAAACGGAGGAAGGUGGGGAUGACGUCAAAUCAUCAUGCCCUUUAUGACUUGGGCUACACACGUACUACAAUGGCGUUAAACAAAGAGAAGCAAGACCGCGAGGUGGAGCAAAACUCAGAAACAACGUCCCAGUUCGGACUGCAGGCUGCAACUCGCCUGCACGAAGUCGGAAUUGCUAGUAAUCGUGGAUCAGCAUGCCACGGUGAAUACGUUCCCGGGCCUUGUACACACCGCCCGUCACACCAUGAGAGCCGGGGGGACCCGAAGUCGGUAGUCUAACCGCAAGGAGGACGCCGCCGAAGGUAAAACUGGUGAUUGGGGUGAAGUCGAAACAAGGU
rnacentral:rRNA from 1 species